UUCCGGUUGAUCCUGCCGGAGGUCACUGCUAUUGGGAUUCGACUAAGCCAUGCGAGUCGAGAGGGUUCGGCCCUCGGCUGACGGCUCAGUAACACGUGGAUAAUCUGCCCUUAGGUGGAGGAUAAUCUCGGGAAACUGAGGAUAAUACUCCAUAGAUCUAGGAUGCUGGAAUGCAUCUAGAUUGAAAGCUCCGGCGCCUAAGGAUGAGUCUGCGGACUAUCAGGUUGUAGUCAGGGUAAAGACCUGACUAGCCUACGACGGAUACGGGUUGUGAGAGCAAUAACCCGGAGACGAUAUCUGAGACACGAUAUCGGGCCCUACGGGGCGCAGCAGGCGCGAAAACUUCACACUGUGCGAAAGCGCGAUGAGGGAAUCCCAAGUGUUUGCUCGUAAGAGUAAACUGUUUCUUUGUUUAAAACGCAGAGAGAGUAAGGGCUGGGUAAGACGGGUGCCAGCCGCCGCGGUAAUACCUGCAGCUCGAGUGGUGAUCAUUAUUAUUGGACCUAAAACGUCCGUAGCCGGUUUAGUAAAUGCCUGGGUAAAUCGUGUAGCUUAACUAUACGACUUCCGGGUAGACUGCUAAACUUGAGACCGGGAGAGGCUAGAGGUACUCCUGGGGUAGAGGUGACAUUCUGUAAUCCUAGGGGGACCACCAGUGGCGAAGGCGUCUAGCUAGAACGGGUCUGACGGUGAGGGACGAAGCCCUGGGGCACAAACCGGAUUAGAUACCCGGGUAGUCCAGGGUGUAAACGCUGCUUGCUUGAUGUUAGUUGGGCUCCGAGCCCAACUAGUGUCGGAGAGAAGUUGUUAAGCAAGCUGCCUGGGAAGUACGGUCGCAAGGCUGAAACUUAAAGGAAUUGGCGGGGGAGCACAGCAACGGGUGGAGCGUGCGGUUUAAUUGGAUUCAACG
rnacentral:rRNA from 1 species